AUACGAAGGGUGCAAGCGUUGUUCGGAUUUACUGGGCGUAAAGCGCGCGCAGGCGGAUUGCUAAGUCAGAUGUGAAAUCUCGGGGCUCAACCCCGAAACUGCGUCUGAAACUGGUGAUCUAGAAUAUCGGAGAGGGAGAUGGAAUUUCGCAUGUAGGGGUAAAAUCCGUAGAGAUGCGAAGGAACACCAGAGGCGAAGGCGGUCUCCUGGACGAUUAUUGACGCUGAGGCGCGAAAGCGUGGGGAGCAAACAGGAUUAGAUACCCUAGUAGUCC
rnacentral:rRNA from 1 species